GCCCCCAUAGCUUAACCCCAAAGCAUGGCACUGAAGAUGCCAAGACGGUACCAAUAUUACCUGCGGGC
rnacentral:tRNA from 1 species